rnacentral:lncRNA from 1 species
GCUCGGCACCUCCAGCUCUGGAAGCGAGUGUCCCGGCCUCGUGCAUCCCCCCCCUUCUCCGUGUCUGCCGAGGGAUGAUGCUUUCCCUGGGUUUUGGGGGGAAAAAAAAAAAAAAAAAAAAAAAAAGGAGAGAGGGAGGGAAGAAAUUUCCAGCCAGAGCUCGGCAGCCAGAGCCAAGUCUGAGCCUCGCAAAUCUCCGGCCCCAUACUUCACGGGUUAAGCGAGCCGAGAGGGCUGUGUGCGCUAAGGUCAACACAGGCUGCACCUGCCCACAGGCUCCUGUGCGCGGCAGCACAAUUGAUGGCUUGUUCCUUUCAUAAGUGCCGUUGGAGCGCGGUGCCCAGGCCCCGAGCCAGCCUGCUGAUCACAUAAAAUAUUAUUUGUGUUUAAAAAUUCCAGUAAUUGACUAUGCACCGUUUUUUUCCAAGCCCGCUGCCAAGGGCAGUAAAAUCAAAAUCCGUCCCAGGUUAUUUUCAUCAUGCAAAUUCCCAUUUCUGUAAACAGGAGUAAAAGCGGCAAGACCCAUUGCCUGCAGCCGCCAGCCUGGGCCGGCGGCCAGCGUGCGGCGGGGAGCGCGCCGGGGCCGGCGGCCGGAGCAGGGGGAGCAGGAACAGCCCCGCAAGCCGCCAGCCCUGCUGCAUGGUCUGGAGAAGCACUUUUUGAUGCGUUUGGUGCAAAAAAAGCCAGUUACGGAGCUGCAGGAUCCGCACCAAAGGCUGAGUGCCAUCGAGGAAAGCUCUGGAUCCGACCGGGAACGGAGGCAGUGAUGGAGGAGAAGAUGCUGCUCCUGGAGUUUUGCCUGCUGGGCCCUUCUUUGGUCAGGGUCCCACUCCUCACUUACGUGACUCGUCUCAUGGCAGAGGAGAUGACUGCUCGCCUGCGUUGUUUAUACGACGGCAGUGACUAACAGGCUCAGCUCGGCAAUUGCAGGAGGCUUUGUACAAACAAGGAGAUGAGAGGCAGAGGGGAGGGAUCGGGGCUUGAAACACCAGCUGUAAACACAACACGUUUCAAGCAAAGACAACUCGUGGCAGGGUGAACCAAACUAACAAAUGUCGCAAGAGCGGAGCAACAGGGAGGGCGACGCGCACCCGUGUGCCGGCGCAGAGCUGAGCUUUCACAAUAAAUGAUUAAAGCAUGGUUCA